GUCAAUGGACGAGAGUCUGAACCAGCCAAGUAGCGUGCAGGAUGACGGCCCUAUGGGUUGUAAACUGCUUUUAUAAGGGAAUAAAGUGAGUCUCGUGAGACUUUUUGCAUGUACCUUAUGAAUAAGGACCGGCUAAUUCCGUGCCAGCAGCCGCGGUAAUACGGAAGGUCCGGGCGUUAUCCGGAUUUAUUGGGUUUAAAGGGAGCGUAGGCCGGAGAUUAAGCGUGUUGUGAAAUGUAGAUGCUCAACAUCUGCACUGCAGCGCGAACUGGUUUCCUUGAGUACGCACAAAGUGGGCGGAAUUCGUGGUGUAGCGGUGAAAUGCUUAGAUAUCACGAAGAACUCCGAUUGCGAAGGCAGCUCACUGGAGCGCAACCGACGCUGAAGCUCGAAAGUGCGGGUAUCGAACAGGAUUAGGUACCCUGGUAGUCCGCACGGUAAACGAUGGAUGCCCGCUGUUGGUCUGAAUAGGUCAGCGGCCAAGCGAAAGCAUUAAGCAUCCCACCUGGGGAGUACGCCGGCAACGGUGCAACUCAAAUGAAUUGACGGAAU
rnacentral:rRNA from 1 species